rnacentral:rRNA from 1 species
GGUAUCGCCGUUAGUCAUGUGCAAAUAUGGAUAGCUGUUUUAGCCGUCUUUAUUGACUGGUUUAUAAGAGUUAUCAGAUAUCACUUUGAUUAAAUUAGAGUGCUUAAAGCAAGUGUGUUACUUGGAUAUAAAUGCAUGGAAUGAUGGAAUAUGUUGUUAUUCUAUUUGUUGGUUUUUGAAUGAUAAAAUGAUUGAAAGGAACUGUUGGGGGCAUUUGUAUUGUUGUGAGAGAGGUGAAAUUCUUAGACCACAGCAAGACGAACUACUGCGAAAGCAUUUGCCAAGAAUGUUUUCAUUGAUCAAGAACGAAAGUUAGAGGUUCGAAGGCGAUCAGAUACCGCCCUAGUUCUAACCAUAAACUAUGCCAACUAGCAAUUUGCUUUGUAUUUUUUAUGACUAAGUGAGAGGCCACGGGAAACCUAAGUAGGGUUAUGGGGGAAGUAUGGUUGCAAAGCUGAAACUUAAAGGAAUUGACGGAAGGGCACCACCAGGAGUGGAGCCUGCGGCUUAAUUUGACUCAACACGGGAAAACUUACCUGGUCCUGACACUAGAAGGAUUGACAGAUUGAUAGCUCUUUCUUGAUUUGGUGGAUGGUGGUGCAUGGCCGUUCUUAGUUGGUGGAGUGAUUUGUCUGGUUAAUUCCGAUAACGAACGAGACUCUAGCCUAUUAAAUAAUACACGGAAUUUUAUCUUCCGCGGUAUUUCUUAGUGGGAUCAAGCG